CUCGUAGGUGGCCAACUAAGUCAGACGUGAAAUCCCCAGGCUUAACCUGGGAACUGCGUCUGAUACUGGAUGGCUUGAAUUCGGGAGAGGGAUGCAGAAUUCCAGGUGUAGCGGUGAAAUGCGUAGAUAUCUGGAGGAAUACCGGUGGCGAAGGCGGCAUCUUGGACCGAGAUUGACACUGAUGAGCGAAAGCCAGGGGAGCAAACG
rnacentral:rRNA from 1 species